AUGUCGUUCCCCCCUUGGGGGCGUCGUUCUUGGAGGUGUGCACGGGCUCAAGGGACCAGUGGACCGCAUCUUAGGUGGAGUGGUGCUUCAUCCUACACAUUGAUGGCGACGGAUCUCGACGGCGUGGCGCAGUGCAGAUUCGGCGUCCGUUGCGAGGAUGGACUCGCGCAGGAGGACGACGUUGUCUGGCGUCGUGGUGGCGUCGAUGGCAAAGAGACCUGGCAUGGUGGAUGCAACAUUACAGCUCUGAAGAUGGAUUUGUGGCAGGUGGCCGCGGCGGCCUCAUACCCGGCAGGCGUCCGGGUUGAAGAGUGCGCUGGACUGGUGGGUGCCCCAUACCCGGCAGGCGUCCUGGUUGGGACCUCAGGUCAUAGAUGUUAG
rnacentral:rRNA from 1 species